CACAGUUGCACUCCCAUUCAAAAUCAUCCCGCGAAAGAGCUGUAAGGUCCCUCAACAGCAACCUACGGCAGCAACGUCGCACCUAGUACCACCCGAUGACGCCGUCACUCUCGUUAGCGCCACCGAACACCGCUCCUCCGUCUGCCCAAUGCUGUCGCUCCCUGCUAGCUUGUUGAAUAGAGCAAAUCUGGGAGGGUAUACAGCGACACUGCUCUGGUGGAGCUUUGUUUCACCGUCACCCCUGCCCUCUCAUGCUUCUCACAACAGUUACCGUUGAAGAACCUGCACCUUGACUCAAGGCUAUCUUUAGUUUUAUUGUUCCUGAUCAGAGGUCUGGUAAGGUUGAACUCAAAUUGCAGCAUGAGUAUGCUGGAAUAAGUACAAGCCUUGGGUUGAUUGCCAAUCCAAUUGUGAAAUUUUUUGGUGUUGUUGGAAACAAUGUUGACAGUGUGUGAUGAUGUUGGUAAAUUCAGGAAUGAUAAAGGGGACGCCCUUAAUGCUUCAUACUACCACACUGUAAGCCCAUUGACAAACACAGCUAUUGGUGCAGAGCUGUCGCGAAGCUUUUCAAGCAACGAUAAUACCCUCACACAGCUAUUGGCGCAGAGCUGUCGCAUAGUUGUUUUUUCUUGUUUUACAUUCUAUCCGAACACUUGAAAUGUAAUAGAUUUUUUUUGGCACCGAUAAUGUGAUAUGUUAUUUCUUAAGUUUUGGUCA